GAUGAACGCUGACAGAAUGCUUAACACAUCAGCAAUUGAUUGGUGGCGGACGGGUGAGUAACGCGUAAAGAACUUGCCUCACAGCUAGGGACAACAUUUAGAAAUGAAUGCUAAUACCUGAUACUGUGAGCGAGCUUUGCGUCGCAUUAGCUAGUUGGAGAGGUAACAGCUCACCAAGGCGAGGAUGGGUAGCCGGCCUGAGAGGUGGAACGGCCACAAGGGUACUGAGACACGGCCCUGACUCCUACGGGAGGCAGCAGUGGGGAAUAUUGGACAAUGGACCGAAGUCUGAUCAAGCAAUUCUGUGGGCACGAUUAAGUUUUCGGAAUGUAAAGUGCUUUCAGUUGGGAAGCGGUACCAACAGAAGAAGUGACGGCUAAAUACGUGCCAGCCGCCGCGGUAAUAC
rnacentral:rRNA from 1 species